UAUUCUGCCCUACGGGGAAGGAUGAGAAGCUUCGACUAAGGUUCGACUCGAGCGCCAGCGAGAAAACGUUGCCGCAGGCAACGGCCCGAAGGGC
rnacentral:sRNA from 1 species